GUUGCAGUUAAAAAGCUCGUAGUCGAAUGUAGAGAUGACGAUGCUGAUCUGACUUUUAGGAGACAGAAAUUGGCAUUGUUAUCUCUUUUUACCGAUCCCUCGUUGGUUUUUAGCUAAACCAAUGGGGCAGUAGCGGUAAUUUUUACUGUGAAUAAAUUAGAGUGUUCAUGGCAGGCCGAAAGGGCUUAGAUAUUUCAGCAUGGAAUAAUAGAAUAGGACUUCUGGUUCUGUUUGGUUAGGUUUUUGGAGCCGAAGUAAUGAUUAAUAGGAAUAGUUGGGGGCACUCGUACUCCGUUGUCAGAGGUGAAAUUCUUGGAUUUACGGAAGACGAACAACUGCGAAAGCAUCUGCCAAGGAUGUUUUCAUUGAUCAAGAACGAA
rnacentral:rRNA from 1 species